rnacentral:rRNA from 1 species
GAUAAACGCUAGCGGCAGGCCUAACACAUGCAAGUCGAGGGGCAGCGGAUAGAGUAGCUUGCUACUCUUGCCGGCGACCGGCGAACGGGUGCGUAACGCGUAUGCAACCUACCUUUAACUGGGGAAUAAUUCGGAGAAAUCUGGUCUAAUACCCCAUAAUAUCAGUGAAGGCAUCUUCACUGGUUGAAAGCUCAGGCGGUUCUAGAUGGGCAUGCGUUGUAUUAGCUUGUUGGUGAGGUAACGGCUCACCAAGGCUACGAUACAUAGGGGGACUGAGAGGUUAUCCCCCCACACUGGUACUGAGACACGGACCAGACUCCUACGGGAGGCAGCAGUGAGGAAUAUUGGUCAAUGGACGCAAGUCUGAACCAGCCAUGCCGCGUGCAGGAAGACGGCUCUACGAGUUGUAAACUGCUUUUGUACGAGGGUAAACCCAGAUACGUGUAUCUGGCUGAAAGUACCGUACGAAUAAGGACCGGCUAACUCCGUGCCAGCAGCCGCGGUAAUACGGAGGGUCCAAGCGUUAUCCGGAUUUAUUGGGUUUAAAGGGUGCGCAGGCGGUCUGAUAAGUUAGAGGUGAGAUCCCGGGGCUCAACCCCGGAACUGCCUCUGAUACUGUCAGACUAGAGAAUAGUUGCUGUGGGCGGAAUGUAUGGUGUAGCGGUGAAAUGCUUAGAGAUCAUACAGAACACCGAUUGCGAAGGCAGCUCACAAAGCUAUUUCUGACGCUCAGGCACGAAAGCGUGGGGAGCAAAACAGGAUUAGAUACCCUGGUAGUCCACGCCGUAAACGAUGAUAAACUCGUUGCCCGGCGAUAUUACUGUCCGGUGACUUAGCGAAAGCGAUAAGUUAUCCACCUGGGGAGUACGUUCGCAAGAAUGAAACUCAAAGGAAUUGACGGGGGCCCGCACAAGCGGAGGAACAUGUGGUUUAAUUCGAUGAUACGCGAGGAACCUUACCCGGGCUUGAAAGUUAGUGACAGAGGUGGAAACACCUCCUUCCUUCGGGACACGAAACUAGGUGCUGCAUGGUUGUCGUCAGCUCGUGCCGUGAGGUGUCGGGUUAAGUCCCAUAACGAGCGCAACCCCUACCGUUAGUUGCCAGCAGGUCAAGCUGGGCACUCUGACGGGACUGCCGGUGUAAGCCGAGAGGAAGGUGGGGAUGACGUCAAAUCAGCACGGCCCUUACGUCCGGGGCGACACACGUGUUACAAUGGCCGGUACAGAGGGCCGCUACCCCGCGAGGGGAUGCUAAUCUCUAAAGCCGGUCUCAGUUCGGAUCGCAGGCUGAAACCCGCCUGCGUGAAGUUGGAUUCGCUAGUAAUCGCGCAUCAGCCAUGGCGCGGUGAAUACGUUCCCGGGCCUUGUACACACCGCCCGUCAAGCCAUGGAAGUUGGGGGUGCCUGAAGUCCGUCACCGUAAGGAGCGGCCUAGGGCAAAACCGAUGACUGGGGU